rnacentral:rRNA from 1 species
CUUUCCCUCUUUCUUUAGGCCUAACACAUGCAAGUCGAACGGCAGCACAGUAAGAGCUUGCUCUUACGGGUGGCGAGUGGCGGACGGGUGAGGAAUACAUCGGAAUCUACUUUUUCGUGGGGGAUAACGUAGGGAAACUUACGCUAAUACCGCAUACGACCUACGGGUGAAAGCAGGGGAUCUUCUGACCUUGCGCGAAUGAAUGAGCCGAUGUCGGAUUAGCUAGUUGGCGGGGUAAAGGCCCACCAAGACGACGAUCCGUAGCUGGUCUGAGAGGAUGAUCAGCCACACUGGAACUGAGACACGGUACAGACUCCUACGGGAGGAAGCAGUGGGGAAUAUUGGACAAUGGGCGCAAGCCUGAUCCAGCCAUACCGCGUGGGUGAAGAAGGCCUUCGGGUUGUAAAGCCCUUUUGUUGGGAAAGAAAAGCAGCAGGUUAAUACCCCGCUGUUCUGACGGUACCCAAAGAAUAAGCACCGGCUAACUUCGUG